GGACGGUUAGCUCAACGGCAGAGCAUGCGGUUUACAUCCGCAGGGUUGCAGGUUCGAAUCCUGCACCGUCCA
rnacentral:tRNA from 1 species